UACGUAGGGUGCAAGCGUUAAUCGGAAUUACUGGGCGUAAAGCGCACGUAGGCGGACUGUUUAAGUCGGGGGGUGAAAUCCUGGGGCUCAACCUCAGAAUUGCCUCCGAUACUGGCAGUCUCGAGUGCGGGAGAGGUGAGUGGAAUUCCCAGUGUAGAGGUGAAAUUCGUAGAUAUUGGGAAGAACACCAGUGGCGAAGGCGGCUCACUGGCCCGUAACUGACGCUGAGGUGCGAAAGCGUGGGGGAGCAAACAGG
rnacentral:rRNA from 1 species